UGACGAUUAGCUCAGAUGGUAGAGCGCCGCACUGUUAAUGCGAUUGUCGCAGGUUCGAGCCCUGCAUCGUCAG
rnacentral:tRNA from 2 species